UGGGGAAUUUUGGACAAUGGGGGAAACCCUGAUCCAGCCAUCCCGCGUGUGCGAUGAAGGCCUUCGGGUUGUAAAGCACUUUUGGCAGGAAAGAAACGUCAUGGGUUAAUACCCCGUGAAACUGACGGUACCUGCAGAAUAAGCACCGGCUAACUACGUGCCAGCAGCCGCGGUAAUACGUAGGGUGCAAGCGUUAAUCGGAAUUACUGGGCGUAAAGCGUGCGCAGGCGGUUCGGAAAGAAAGAUGUGAAAUCCCAGAGCUCAACUUUGGAACUGCAUUUUUAACUACCGGGCUAGAGUGUGUCAGAGGGAGGUGGAAUUCCGCGUGUAGCAGUGAAAUGCGUAGAUAUGCGGAGGAACACCGAUGGCGAAGGCAGCCUCCUGGGAUAAUACUGACGCUCAUGCACGAAAGCGUGGGGAGCAAACAGG
rnacentral:rRNA from 1 species